AUGAAACCAACACUGUUAGUUGGCAUGGAUUGGAGCUCCAAUUUGAACGCAAUAGCGCAUGAUCAACAGAUUCCCAUUGCUGCUCGAGCAGGAGAAUCUUUGUACAUGUUUAUCUCUGAACAUAUUUCUAGUCAGUGCAAAGUUCUGACCUAUUUCUUAUUUCUCUCGGGGACAACAACACUGAGUCCCAUAAGUUUUGUAUAUGUUUUUAACUAUGUUUCUGGGAUGCCAUUAACUGUCAGCACCCAAUUGACCAGCUCAGUUCUAUGUUCAAAGACUAAAGAGAAAAUACUUCAGUGUCCCAAACACAGUGAAUUCACCUUAGGGAAGUCAAAAGGAACACUCUUAUCCUGA